GAUGAACGCUGGCGGCGUGCCUAAUACAUGCAAGUCGAGCGAACAGACGAGGAGCUUGCUCCUUUGACGUUAGCGGCGGACGGGUGAGUAACACGUGGGUAACCUACCUAUAAGACUGGGAUAACUUCGGGAAACCGGAGCUGAUACCGGAUAAUAUUUCGAACCGCAUGGUUCGAUAGUGAAAGAUGGCUUUGCUAUCACUUAUAGAUGGACCUGCGCCGUAUUAGCUAGUUGGUAAGGUAACGGCUUACCAAGGCAACGAUACGUAGCCGACCUGAGAGGGUGAUCGGCCACACUGGAACUGAGACACGGUCCAGACUCCUACGGGAGGCAGCAGUAGGGAAUCUUCCGCAAUGGGCGAAAGCCUGACGGAGCAACGCCGCGUGAGUGAUGAAGGUCUUCGGAUCGUAAAACUCUGUUAUUAGGGAAGAACAAACGUGUAAGUAACUGUGCACGUCUUGACGGUACCUAAUCAGAAAGCCACGGCUAACUACGUG
rnacentral:rRNA from 1 species